GAGAGAAUUGGCGGGGGGAGAAAUGAAAACGUCAACCCAUAAGCUCCCCAGCUUGCUUCUUCCUCUUCUAUAGCCUACGCCAUUUUCAGGGGUGGCGAUGAACAGACGUACAUGUGUCCAGAUGUGUUUGGAUGGGUCAGUCCCAAUUUUUUUCUCAGACUCGCCCAAAAUUCUUGUCUGCUGCCAUUGGUCUGUGGUUCAGUGGGGCUACCUUGGAAGGUGACCCGGAAACUACAAUUAAUCCAGAAUGCAGCAGCUAGACUGGUGACUGGGAGCGGCCGCCGAGACCACAUAGCACCGGUCUUGAAAGACCUACACUGGCUCCCAGUACGUUUCCGAGCACAAUUCAAAGUGUUGGUGCUGACCUUUAAAGCCCUAAACGGCCUCGGUCCAGUAUACCUGAAGGAGCGUCUCCACCUCCAUCGUUCUGCCCGGACAUUGAGGUCCAGCGCCGAGGGCCUUCUGGCGGUUCCCUCGCUGCGAGAAGCCAAGUUACAGGGAAGCAGGCAGAGGGCCUUCUCAGUGGUGGCACCCGCCCUGUGGAACACCCUCCCACCAGGUGUCAAAGAGAACAACAACUACCAAACUUUUAGAAGACAUCUAAAGGCAGCCCUGUUUAGGGAAGCUUUUAAUGUUUAAUAGGUUGUUGUAUUUUAGUGUUUUGUUGGAAGCCACCCAGAGUGGCUGGGGGGACCCAGCCAGAUGGGUGGGGUAUAAAAAAAAAAUUAUUAUUAUUAUUAUUAUUAAGGCAUCUUAUAAGUCGCAUCCUAAAGAAAAAUAACUUCGGUAGCCGAUUCUGAACGAAGAGGUGGCUAGAAAUUGAGCAUCUUUUUCUGACAUCAUCAUCAUAAUCAUCAGAAUCAUAAGAAUAAUAAUUUAUUUAUAUCCUGCCCUCCCCAGCCGAAGCCAGGCUCAGAGCGGCUAACAACAGUAAAAGUAACACAGUUUACAUAAAAUCACAAUUAAUUGAAAUACAUUCUAAAAUCAGUUCAUUCUAAAAUCAAUUCUGUUGCAUGUCUAUCCCACCUUUGUUGCAAGGAGCUCAAUAUUCUGUGUACAGUGGUACCUCGGGUUACAAACGCUUCAGGUUACAGACUCCGCUAACCCAGAAAUAGUGCUUCAGGUUAAGAACUUUGCUUCAGGAUGAGAACAGAAAUCAUGCUCUGGCGGCGCGGCAGCAGCAGGAGGCCCCAUUAGCUAAAGUGGUGCUUCAGGUUAAGAACAGUUUCAGGUUAAGAACGGACCUCCGGAACGAAUUAAGUACUCAACCCGAGGUACCACUGUAUGGUUUUCCCCACUUUAUCCUCAUUUUACCCUCACAGCAACUCUGCAGUGUAGGUUUGGCUGCAGGAUAGGAUGGCUGGCCCAAGGUCACCCAGUCACCUUUAUGCCUCGGUGGGGAAAUUGAAUUCUGGUCUCCCAAGUCCUAUUCCAGCAUUUGAAUCACAUUGGCUGUCUCAAGCUACUCCUCUGCAAUACCUUGAGUUCUGCUAAUUCAAAAGUCAAUAUUGUGCAUGUUUGGGGUCAGGGUCGUUCAGAUAUUGGUUGGCUUCCUACUCCAACGGGCAGGAAUGGUGGGAGAUGUCGUUCAGCGGUAUCUGAAGGGCCACGAGUUCUGACCGAAACCCUCGGCAUCUAAACUAGCAAAUCUUGCUUAGAGAGUAGGCUUUUCUUGUUGGGCUCACAGAUAAACACACACGUGCGCUUGCUGGUAGCAAAGUAAUUGAGCUGUUUAUUGUAGGAUAGAGAAAAAUUCGCAUUCCAGCCUAGAGGAGGAAUAGGACGCCAUGCUUGCUCCUUCGUUCUCUCAGAGGAUAAAGACGGCGUUCCAUACUGAGGUCUGAGAAGUGGGAGGGAGGAGCAAGUUUUAUUUUUAUUUUUUUAAAUGAUAUUUAUUAGAAGUUUAAAGAUUACAGAAAAAAGGAAAAAAGACAACAAUAAUAAAAAAAUAUUUCCAGAACAUACCUUACAAUACAUAAAAAUAAAAACAUAGAAAAGCAAUACAACAAUACCGUAAAAAGAAACAAAAAAACUAAAACACACAUCCAAUAUUCCAUAUUACCUUUCCUUUACUUGUUUCAUCGACCUCCUCACACCUCCCUUUUUUGUAUUCUAGUUCAAUUCACUAUUUCAGCAAAUUCUUUCCAUCUUUCUCAAUUUUUGUUCUAUAAUUUAUCUUAACGGUCUAACCUUAAAGUUUUUCAUUUUGGCCCAUUAUCAAUCAGCUUUUACUUAAUUCUUUGUUACAUUUCUACUAAAACCAUAUAGCUUCAUUCCAGCAUCCUUCUAACACUCAUUAAUUUUACAAUGUUUCUGUAAAUAUACUUUAAAUUUUUUCCAAUCUUCUUCCACCGACUCUUCUCCCUGGUCUCGGAUUCUGCCAGUCAUUUCCGCCAGUUCCAUGUAGUCCAUCAGCUUCAUCUGCCAUUCUUCCCUGGUGGGUAGAUCUUGUGUCUUCCAAUGCUUUGCAAGUUUUAAACAGGGUGCAACCUAAGAGGUAUCGGUCUAAACAACAAGGAAAACAAGGAAAAUAACUACCAAACUUUUAGAAGACGUCUGAAGGCAGCCCUGUUUAGGGAAGCUUUUAAUGUUUAAUAGGUUAUUGUAUUUUAGUGUUCUGUUGGAAGCCGCCCAGAGUGGCUGGGGAAACCCUGCCAGAUGGGCGGGGUAUAAAUAAAUUAUUAUUAUUAUUAUUAUUAUUGGGUAAGAGAAGUAAGCUGAUAGGCUAAAGGUACAGGCAGGGGCACCGACCUGCCCCCCACAUUGAGGGGGCAUGGUGUCACAUGAUGUCAUAUUGACGUUAUGCGCAAUUGGGUUGCCAACCAGGCGCCCCCCAGAGAGAUCCCCAUUCUUCACCCUUCGGCAGCAGGCGAUGGGAAACAUGGAGGGUGAAUCCGAGACCAGGGAGAAGAGUCGGUGGAAGAAGAUUGGAAGAAAUUUAAAGACUAUUUACAGAAAUAUUGCAAAAUUAAUGAAUGUUAGAAUGAUGUCAGAAUGAAGUUAAGUGGUUUUAGCAGCAAUGUCAUAAAGGUGUAUGUAAAAAUGGAUUGUUAAUAGGUGAGAAUCUAAAGCUAUAAUAUAUUAAGUUAAAGGACUAAGACAAAAACAAAGAGGGAAAGGAAUUGCUGAAUUAACCAACUGAACUGGAAUACAAAAAAAGGGAGGUGAGAGGAGGUCGGGGAAGCAAGGAAAUGAAAUGUAAGAUACAGAAGGAUUAAUUUGUUUUUAAGUGGUUUUUUUAUUUUUUUUCUGUACUUUGUAUUUUGUAUGUUUUUUCUCUUUUUUAUUUUUUCCCUUGUUUCUUUUCUCUUUAACUAUGUAAUUUUUUGUUUCUGAAAUUUUAAUAAAUAUCAUUUAAAAAAAAACAAAACAUGGAGGGUGAAGAAGACCGUCUGUGCCUCCUGCCCGGUGCAGGGGAUGCGGUGAGGACCCCUCAAUAUUGGGGGGGCUUCACCCCUUCCCCACAAAUAUUGAGGGGGCUGAAGCCCCUUCCCCCCCUAUAGUUGGCGCCCCUGGGUAGAGUCUGGGAAUGUGUGUGACCCUCACUCUGUUUUAACCCAAUGUUUAUAUAUAUAUAUGUUUUUUAACAUAUCAUUUUCAACAGUAAUUAAACAUACUUUUACAUCUUAUUCAUUUUUUUUGACUUCCAUCAGUCCUGUCUGAAAAUUUUCCAAUCUAAUCUCUUAGUAUGCAUUUCUUACUUUCCCUAUUACAUUUCAAACUCAUAACCAAUAUCUCUAUCUUUUCCUACUUUGUAACACUUCAUAUGUUUCUCCUUACAAAACUUAUUGUAGUCCUUCUAGCGUAAUUUGUUUUACAGUUGCUCUUCUAGUAAUUCAUAUACUUCUUCCAGUCUUCUGUAAAUCUCUAGUCCCUCAGGUUUCGAAUCCUUCCUGUCAUUUUGUCCAAUUCUGCAUAGUCCAUUAAUUUCAUCUGCCAUUCUUCUUUCAUCGGAAUUUCCUCUUGCUUCCAUUUCUGGCCUAACAAUACUCUCGCCGCUGUUGUUGCAUAUAAGAACAGUUUGACAGCUUGUCUAUUAAUGUCUUGGCCUAUAAUACCAAGUAAAAAUGCUUCUGGUUUUUUUAAGAGUUUAACCCGAUGUUUUAACCCUUCUUUUUCAAGCUGAGGGGCACCCAAGCUUCCAACACUCCCCAUCACUGAAGAAUGG
rnacentral:lncRNA from 1 species